rnacentral:pre_miRNA from 1 species
GAGACACCCUUAUGGAGCAGGACUUGUUUCAGUGGUGCUUUGGUGCUCACUGAGUCUGCUUCUUGAUGUGUCCCU